rnacentral:rRNA from 1 species
GACGAACGCUGGCGGCGUGCCUAAUACAUGCAAGUCGAACGCUUUUUCUUUCACCGGAGCUUGCUCCACCGAAAGAAAAAGAGUGGCGAACGGGUGAGUAACACGUGGGUAACCUGCCCAUCAGAAGGGGAUAACACUUGGAAACAGGUGCUAAUACCGUAUAACACUAUUUUCCGCAUGGAAGAAAGUUGAAAGGCGCUUUUGCGUCACUGAUGGAUGGACCCGCGGUGCAUUAGCUAGUUGGUGAGGUAACGGCUCACCAAGGCAACGAUGCGUAGCCGACCUGAGAGGGUGAUCGGCCACACGGGGACUGAGACACGGCCCAGACUCCGACGGGAGGCAGCAGUAGGGAAUCUUCGGCAAUGGACGAAAGUCUGACCGAGCAACGCCGCGUGAGUGAAGAAGGUUUUCGGAUCGUAAAACUCUGUUGUUAGAGAAGAACAAGGAUGAGAGUAGAACGUUCAUCCCUUGACGGUAUCUAACCAGAAAGCCACGGCUAACUACGUGCCAGCCGCCGCCGUAA